rnacentral:rRNA from 1 species
CCUACGGUGUGCAGCAGUCGAGAAUCAUUCACAAUGGGGGAAACCCUGAUGGUGCGACGCCGCGUGGGGGAAUGAAGGUCUUCGGAUUGUAAACUCCUGUCAUGUGGGAGCAAAUUAAAAAGAUAGUACCACAAGAGGAAGAGACGGCUAAAGCUGUGCCAGCAGCCGCGGUAAUCCAGAGGUCUCAAGCGUUGUUCGGAAUCACUGGUCGUAAAGCGUGCGUAGGCGGUUUCUUAAGUCGUGUGUGAAAGGCGCGGGCUCAACCCGCGGACGGCCCAUGAUACUGCGAGACUAGAGUAUUGGAGGGGGAACCGGAAUUCUCGGUGUAGCAGUGAAAUGCGUAGAUAUCGAGAGGAACACUCGUGGCGAAGGCGGGUUCCUGGACAUUAACUGACGCUGAGGCACGAAGGCCAGGGGAGCGAAAGGGAUUAGAUACCCUUGUAGUC